AGGCCCAGGGUCUGGCCGGGGCAGCCGCUGUGGGCCCCGCCGCCCUGGAGCCCGCGGAGGAGCUGGGGGCGAUGGGCCCAGCCCCUGAGGAUAAGAGAUCUGAGACCCUUGGGGCAGCUUGAGAGCCACAGAGGAAUGUCGGUGGGAGAAACAAUGAAAUAUCAGUAUGAAAACUGUGGUGCAGAGGCCCAAGAUGCUGGGAUUGAGGAGGAAAGAGAGAAAGUUAACAGAAAACAAGGCGGACCAGAAAAGGAUCCGGACCAGGAAGAGAGCAAGCCCGGAUUCCAGGAGUAGAAAAGGAUGGAGAAAGAAGAAAGAAUCUGUUCUUCACUUCAUCACCUGAAAAGUGACAUCCACUGACGUGAUAGUUCUCUAACCUUUUACAGAUGUAUUUAAUAGCAUGUGUUCACGUUUUAAGUUUGUUUUAGAUAAGUUGAAACAUAGGCAGAUUUUUAAAGGGUAAAUAACACUCAAACCUGUUUUACCUUCUUGUAUUGGCCAACUUUACCAUUUGUUAAAGCAUCACUUUCCACCACUUGGGAAGCUUACAUUCCUUUAUCACAGCCCAAGUGUUCAGUGUCAAAUGUAAAACAAUUUUUGUAAAGAGAGAAAUGGAGGCCAAGCCUUUAGAGCUACACUGUAUUUUGUUAGUCGCUAGCCACGUGUUGCUGCUACACGUUUGAAAUGUGGCUAAGUCUGGUUUGAGGUGUUCUGUGAAUGUAAAAAAUACUUUAAAAGAUAUUAAUAACUUAUUACAUAUUGAAAUGAUAGUGUAUUGGAAUAAAUGAAAUAAAGCAUUAAAAAUUACU